CCUUUCUCCCCCCACAUAGUUACACUGAUAGUACUCUUCACGCAGGGUGUAGUAUAUCGUACAACAUGGUGGUCCUGAACAGUUCCAUACUCUACAAUAAACAGCACUGUAAAUCCUGCACGUGCAACAGAGGACACCUUCGCUGCAGCAGACUUCAUCCAAAACAAUGUGCUGGGUCCCUAGUUUCUGGCUGCUACACCGGAAGUAAUUAUCUAACACCUGGGAGUAGAGUGAUGCGCGGCUGUAGAACUUGCACGUGCAAACAAGACAAUACUCUCAAGUGCACAGUGGAUAAUAAGUGCGUGAGUCGUCACGCGUGAGAAUAUAGGAGGUUGUGGAACAGUGGGUGAUGUUGAUUUUUCGGAAACAGACAAUUUAUUUUAGUAGCUUCCUCCUUUUUGCUAACUUUUCUGUCGAUUUACUCAUUGAAAUGUAAUGAUGGUCCGUGAUGAUGUGGUUGAUACAAAUAUUAUUGCCGAAAGACUGCAUUUCAGACUGAGACAUAAAACGCUGUUCUGAAUUUUAGGACAAAAUAUCGAAUCAUUCAAUAUCUCAAUAAUUUAAAAACGGAGU